AAGGCAAGCGGAUCUCUUAAAGCUGUUCUCAGUUCGGACUGCAGUCUGCAACUCGACUGCACGAAGCUGGAAUCGCUAGUAAUCGCGGAUCAGCACGCCGCGGUGAAUACGUUCCCGGGCCUUGUACACACCGCCCGUCACACCAUGGAAGUCUGCAAUGCCCGAAGCCGGUGGCCUAACCACUUAUGUAGAAGGAGCCGUCUAAGGCAGGGCAGAUGACUGGGGUGAAGUCGUAACAAGGUACC
rnacentral:rRNA from 1 species